UUGGGUGGAGUCCGAACUUCCCUUGUGCUUUCUGCUCUGCUGAGGCUGCGGAAACCUUGGACUAUCGCGAGAUUUGGUCUCUGGGCUGAAAAGGGAAACCUCUAAAUAAACUUUAAAAACAGAACAGUAAUUUAAAAAAUGUCUUUCCUCGGUACUUCCCAGACUACUUUUCAGUUUUUCUUAAUUUGUAACCUAACCUUUUAGAUCACUAUCCAGAGUUCUUAAUCGAGCGUCUCCAGAGGCUAAUCUCUGAGAAAGGUUGUGGUCAGAAAAUCUGCAAACUGGUAUAAUUUAUAAAGGCACUUACACUUCCUUCUAUAGCCCAGCCCCUUCUUAAGUCUGGGCCUAGAGACAGGUUUCUUUAGGAUUGCCUUCCCUCCUAAGGGCUUUGGAAACAAACUGCAGGUCUUCAUCCUGAAGGUACUCAUGUCUUCUAUAAUGGAUACAUUUUAUAUGCUUCUUCAUUGGACUUAUUUACUUUCUGGACCCAACAUCCCUUGGUCUGCCUAGGGCUCACCUGCAUUCCUGGAAUCUCUGGCCCUUCCUGCCACUUUUGGACUCCUGUGAAACACUGCAGACUCUGACUUUCCAAUGGCUUCUAGGAGGGCUUAGAUGAUGCAUCCUGGGAGUAUGGGGUGUCACUCCCCACAGAGCAAACUUUGGCCAGUUGAAAACAGUGGAUCGAGUGAGCAUGACAGAGAAAUUCUCUUUCCUUCAUGAUUUCUCCAAACAGUGUAUCUGGAGAAGGACCAGACUGAGUGAAUAUAAUGUAUCUGCCAAGCAACCUGCCAUGUCUCUCACGGCUCAUUUUGAAGAGGGGCUAGCAAGGUAAUGUACCACCUAGUAUUACUUCUUAGCCUUUUCUACCUAACAUCUUUCUAGAAUUUUACCUCGAUCUGGCUGUCCCGAAUUUGUAACUCCCAAAUAAAGCAUCAGCACUUAACCUUUUCCUGAUGAACAGUGCCUACAUUUUUUAAUGUUUCUGUUAUUUACAGCACCUAGCACAUGGCAUUUGGUGUUUAAUAAAUAUCAUAAAUAUA